ACAAACAGUGUCCCCCAAUGCCAUACCAGCAAAACUCCAACCUUCAUUUUUCAUCCUUUCACCUACCACUGUUACAACUCUUAUUCAUCAAAUCUGUAUUUUUAUAUAUCUUGUAAAUAAAACAUCUUCAUAUCUUCUCCACCAUUUUUGAACUUGACAUUUCUUGAACACAAUUCUUCUAAAUCAGCUUUCUUCUUAAACCCACCACUAAAAACUUUAUAAAAUGAAGAAACUCAGAAGCUUUUACAAACACCUGAAAUACCCACCAAUAACAGAACGCAAGUGGAUCUUUCCACUUGCUAUUGGUUCCGUGGUUUCCCUCUUCAUCUUGUUUCUCACAACCUUAAUUUCACCAAAUGGCACUCCACUACUGCCCCUUUACCGCCACUAUACAACGCCGCCUUCGUCCGCCUCCAUUUUUGUCGAAUCAAAGCUUCAAUCGUUACCCAUUUCCGCCGUCUCUGCGCCUCCACGUUUCGCCUAUCUCAUCUCCGGCUCAGCCGGAGACGGCGGCAUGCUGAGGCGCACCCUUCAAGCUCUUUAUCACCCCAAUAACCAGUAUGUUGUGCAUCUUGAUGCUGAGUCAUCGCCUGAGGAGAGGCUUGAUUUGCAUAAAUUUGUCGUGAAUCAUCAAAUUUUUAGGAAAUUCAAGAAUGUACGGAUGAUUACUAAAGCUAAUCUUGUGACUUAUCGUGGACCAACUAUGGUGGCUAAUACACUACAUGCUGCUGCUAUAUUGUUGAAAAAAGGUGGGGAAUGGGAUUGGUUUAUUAACCUUAGUGCUUCUGAUUACCCACUUGUUACUCAAGAUGAUCUUAUUCAUGCAUUUUCGCAUCUACCACGGGAUCUUAACUUCAUUGAUCAUACUAGUGAUAUUGGAUGGAAAGAGUUUCAAAGGGCGAAGCCAAUCAUCAUUGAUCCGGGGUUGUACAUGAAUAAGAAAUCUGAUGUUUUCUGGAUUACACAGAGAAGAAGUGUGCCUACAGCUUUCAAGCUUUUUACAGGAUCUGCUUGGAUGGCCCUUUCUCGACCCUUUGUUGACUUCUGCAUAUGGGGAUGGGACAACUUGCCUCGAACUGUACUUAUGUACUAUGCAAAUUUCAUCUCAACUCCAGAGGGCUAUUUCCACACUGUCAUCUGUAAUGCUCAGGAGUUCCGCAAUACCACAGUAAACAGUGAUCUACACUUUAUAUCAUGGGAUAACCCGCCAAAGCAGCAUCCUCAUUACCUUACACUUGAUGACAUGCAAAAGAUGGUUGACAGUAAUGCCCCAUUUGCGAGAAAGUUUCAUCAAGAUGAUCCAGUGCUUGACAAGAUUGACAAUGAGCUCCUGUUUCGAGGUCAAGGCAUGUUUGUUCCCGGUGGGUGGUGCACAGGGAGUCGAGAUAACAGGACAGAUCCAUGCUCCGUAGUGGGUAAUACCACAGUCCUUAGACCUACUGCUGGGGCAAAGAGAUUGGAAAAUUUGACAGGCUCUCUCUUAUCAAAUGAUAGUUUCCGAUCCAGGCAGUGCAUAUAAUGAAAACAAAUUUUUGAAAGUAGACUUCUUUGUGACAGUCUUCAUAUAGGGAAAGCAGGUGAUGUUAUGAGUUGAUGGUUUUCUUUCGUGAGAGUGAAGACUGUUUUGAGUAUACGCUAUCAUUUGCUUCAAGAUUCACUGUCAUGUCUUAUACUGCAGGAAAAAGUGCAAAUGUAGAGUAUUGCUCCAGAAAAGUGAGGGCACGUGAAUCCGGUCGUGGUUUCCUGCUCUACCAACAUUCACAUAUUUCAACUGUAUUCUAAGGGAUUUGCAAUUCCUUGAUGUGGAAUUUUUUUACCGACUAGAAUGGAGAAUUUUUAGGGUGUGAGCCCUUGCGGAAAGAAGUAUCUCAGGUUUGUUACCCCUAUAAUGUGUAACCUAUCUGUGUUUUUUUUGCCACUUCUUUUGGAGGUUGAGGGGGAAGGGAGUUUCUUGGUGGUGAAUGAAUGUAUCAUAAGCUGCACCUGCUGUUUUUUGGUACUAUCGUUGAGAGAUUUUGUUCGACCUUAUUACUGCCAGCAUGUGAGUACUUGGCAGCUUACGCUGUCUAUGUAUAAAAGUUGGAACUCUUUCGACAUAUACAAA